rnacentral:rRNA from 1 species
GCGAAGAACCUUACCAGGUCUUGACAUCCUUUGACCACUCUAGAGAUAGAGCUUUCCCUUCGGGGUCAAAGUGACAGGUGUUACAUGGUUGUCGUCAGCUCGUGUCGUGAGAUGUUGGGUUAAGUCCCGCAACGAGCGCAACCCUUAUUACUAGUUGCCAGCAUUUAGUUGGGCACUCUAGUGAGACUGCCGGUGACAAACCGGAGGAAGGUGGGGAUGACGUCAAAUCAUCAUGCCCCUUAUGACCUGGGCUACACACGUGCUACAAUGGAUGGUACAACGAGUCGCAAGGUCGCGAGGCCAAGCUAAUCUCUUAAAGCCAUUCUCAGUUCGGAUUGUAGGCUGCAACUCGCCUACAUGAAGCCGGAAUCGCUAGUAAUCGCGGAUCAGAACGCCGCGGUGAAUACGUUCCCGGGUCUUGUACACACCGCCCGUCACACCACGAGAGUUUGUAACACCCGAAGCCGGUGAGGUAACCUUUUAGGAGCCAGCCGUCUAAGGUGGGAUAGAUAAUA